UUUGGACAGUAGAGUGGGGUGCUCAUUUUCGCCAUAUCUUUCCAUGUUUUCUACAGUUUAUGUUCAGGUCUAUAUGUUUUUGAAGUAUACUGAUAUUUCUAUAUGAAGAUAACUUCAAAUGCAAAACAUUCCUAAGCUUGAAAACAUGUUUGUUUGAAAAUAAUCAUCUGUAAAGUAAGAUUAAAGGGUGUUUGAAAUUUCC
rnacentral:lncRNA from 1 species